GACGAACGCUGGCGGCGCGCCUAACACAUGCAAGUCGAACGAGCGAGAGAGAGCUUGCUUUCUCGAGCGAGUGGCGAACGGGUGAGUAACGCGUGAGGAACCUGCCUCAAAGAGGGGGACAACAGUUGGAAACGACUGCUAAUACCGCAUAAGCCCACGACCCGGCAUCGGGUAGAGGGAAAAGGAGCAAUCCGCUCUGAGAUGGCCUCGCGUCCGAUUAGCUAGUUGGUGAGGUAACGGCCCACCAAGGCGACGAUCGGUAGCCGGACUGAGAGGUUGAACGGCCACAUUGGGACUGAGACACGGCCCAGACUCCUACGGGAGGCAGCAGUGGGGAAUAUUGCACAAUGGGGGAAACCCUGAUGCAGCGACGCCGCGUGGAGGAAGAAGGUCUUCGGAUUGUAAACUCCUGUUGUUGAGGAAGAUAAUGACGGUACUCAACAAGGAAGUGACGGCUAACUACGUG
rnacentral:rRNA from 1 species